rnacentral:ncRNA from 1 species
GCAGAGUAGUCGCAGACGCGUCAAGUGUCCAUGGACGGGGAGUUGCCAUGGGACGAAGCAGGAAGGGUAAAAGCCAUCCGGCGCGGUGCCUGCCACGCAUCCCGCUGC